ensembl:lncRNA
UCGUUUCAAUUCAUGGUUCUGCGUGUGUUGCAGAGCGAUUCACCGCCAGAACAACAGGCGGAGUGACGACCUAGAGAGUCACGUCUAUUUAUUUAUUUGUUUGUUUGUUUAUUUAUCAUAGACUUUAUUGCCCCGUGCGUCGCCACUGCUGCUUUUCAUCGCGGACACAUUUGUUCCGUAUUUUCCUCCACAACUUGGUAGGAGUGAGGGGAGACUAAGUAGGAGUGAGGAGAGACUAUGGUAGGAGUGAGGGGAGACUAUGGUAGGAGUGAGGAGUGACUAUGUAGGAGUGAGGAGAGACUAUGGUAGGAGUGAGGAGAGACUAAGUAGGAGUGAGGAGAGACUAAGUAGGAGUGAGGAGAGACUAUGGUAGGAGUGAGGAGAGACUAAGUAGGAGUGAGGAGAGACUAUGGUAGGAGUGAGGAGAGACUAAGGUAGGAGUGAGGGGAGACUAAGUAGGAGUGAGGGGAGACUAAGUAGGAGUGAGGAGAGACUAUGGUAGGAGUGAGGAGAGACUAAGUAGGAGUGAGGAGAGACUAUGGUAGGAGUGAGGGGAGACUAAGUAGGAGUGAGGGGAGACUAAGUAGGAGUGAGGAGAGACUAUGGUAGGAGUGAGGAGAGACUAUGGUAGGAGUGAGGGGAGACUAAGUAGGAGUGAGGAGAGACUAUGGUAGGAGUGAGGAGAGACUAUGGUAGGAGUGAGGGGAGACUAAGUAGGAGUGAGGUUUAACGGUGCUGCCCGGUGACUUGAAAUCAACCCUGCACUGUUUGUCAAAAGAGUGCGUUGCCCUUACACACCUCACUAAAUCUCUACAAUACUGAGGCCAUUGCCUCACAAGCCCCCCCCCGUCCCUACUCCGGAUGACAUGCACUUUCACGCACAAACGCACACACACACACAGGCCGGGCUCCUCUCUCCGCCGUAAAGCACUGAAUGACUGCUCCGUCCUUGAACGUAAAAGUAUUAGGGAGACAGACAAGGUGUAGGAGGAGGAGGGGGAAGGGGGGGGGAGGCAGGAGACGGAAAACAGGGUAAAAAAAAGGGCUGUUUCAUACUGACAGUCCGCUUAAUGAAAAUGCAGUUACGGCUCAUAUAUCUGCAGGCACCAAGGUUCACCCCCCCCACGUCGCACCAGGCCCGGUGCGUUUGGCUGAGGAGACCGCAGGUCAACCAAGGCUAAUCAGCGCCGCGCCGGGCUAACGGAGGGGGUUCGGGUGGAGCGGCGUCGGCCUUGAGUGCGGUUCAAUCGGGCCCAUCAAUCCACACCGGCAGACAGGAAGGACGAGACAUCAGUUACCCGAGCGACAGGCCGCAGAAGGAGCACUCCCUCGCUCCUUACGGUCUCCCUCUGCAGCUCCAGAUCUACAAUCCGCCCCCCCAACACCUCCUCCAGCAAGUGAAGCCCCGCAGAGCACAGCGGCUAAUCAGAAGCUAACGAACACAUCAAGGAGGUGACUAAAGAAACACCUUCUGCUCAACCUGCACAUUCAAGGCCGCUGCAGUCUGAGGGAGCGAUGCGCUCGGCGAGCUUCUUGUUGACAGUCAGACCAAAACAGACGUCCUGCGCACAAGGGAGCCUCUGCCCACAGAAGAGAAAACCCGCUUAUAGGCCAAGAAAGUUAUCGGUGUGUGCGAGGGCAAUCGAAGCAGAGAGGGAUCUAGCGUGCGAGCACCAAGACAUGAGGCAAGAGGUUUAAAUCAGUGAAAGCGUGCAUGUGUGUGAGGGUGGGAAGGUCGUAACGUGUGGUUUGAGGGGUAAUUAGCUCAUGCAGCGGCCGGUCAAAUCAAAUCAAGUUGAAUUUACAUUGCUUCUCUUUGGCCUUCAAACCCCAAGGCCUGAAUCAUUACAUCGAU